AACUCUUCCACCAAGUAAUCCAACUAGCAUAAACUACAAAGAGUAAUCAACACUACUAGCAACCUUACAAGUACCAAUCGGAGUCGCGAGACGGAGAUUGGUUACAAGACAUGAACUAGGGUUUGGAGAGGAGAUGGUGCUGAUGAAGAUGUUGAUGGAGAUGACUCCCCUCCGACGAGAGGAGUGUUGGUGAUGACGAUGGCGACGAUUUCCCCC
rnacentral:lncRNA from 1 species